rnacentral:rRNA from 1 species
AGAGUUUGAUUAUGGCUCAGGAUGAACGCUGGCGGCGUGCCUAAUACAUGCAAGUCGAACGAGGUGGAAGGGAGCUUGCUCCUGGAUGCCUAGUGGCGAACGGGUGAGUAACACGUAGGUAACCUGCCCUUAAGCUUGGGAUACCCAGAGGAAACUUUGGCUAAUACCGGAUAACAACAGAGGAGGCAUCUCCUUUGCUUGAAAGGCCCUUUACGGGGUCACUUAAGGAUGGACCUGCGGCGCAUUAGCUAGUUGGUGAGAUAAAAGCCCACCAAGGCGAGGAUGCGUAGCCGACCUGAGAGGGUGAUCGGCCACAUUGGAACUGAGACACGGUCCAAACUCCUACGGGAGGCAGCAGUAAGGAGUUUUCGGCAAUGGGGGAAACCCUGACCGAGCAACGCCGCGUGAGUGAAUGACGGCCCUAUGGGUUGUAAAGCUCUGUUGUAAGGGACGAAUGAUUAGCUUAGGAAAUGAAGCUAGUUUGACGGUACCUUACCAGAAAGCCACGGCUAACUACGUGCCAGCCGCGGC